rnacentral:tRNA from 1 species
UCCCGGUGAGCUUAGUUGGUAGGGCGCUCCACUGGGAAUGGUAAGGUCCCUGGUUCGAUACCGGGAUCAGGUG